AUCCAUCAAGAAUUCUUUAUUUUCUGAUGUUAUCCUCUAUUAGUAUCCAUAUGUUAUAUAAAUUGACUUAGCUACCUUUAAACCAAAUACCCUACAAACAUUACUUAAUUGAUUGCAUCCCUGAUCGAAAACCUGAAUGUGACAUGAUUUUCAUUUAAAAUGAUUCUGAUUUUGUGUGUUACAGUACGAGACCAGGUUCCUGAAAAUGCUGCGAAUCGAAAGGAAAUUCCAAAGAACAGUUACAUGAAUGUGGCUGCUGUAUUUGUGGUAGUAGGCUCUCUUGCCAUUGGACUGCUGCUUCUCAAGCUGUUUCAAGCCAGAAGACUCAGACAACAUGAAUCCUUGAUACCAGAGGACUCUGUUGUGCCAGAAGAGCCUGAGGAUACAGCAGUCCCAGCAGAGCACGACCCCAGCACCAGGACAGGACUGUUUCCGUAGCGACAGAUGUAUUAUCAGGGGCGCCAUGGGCUCUCUUCCCUGUAGGUGUCAUGUCUGCUCUGUCUCUCACGUCACAUCGCUAACUGAAUGUGAAUGCUUUGCCUGGAGGAGGGAGCAAUCUGGCACAACACUAUUCUGUUCCCCCUCUGCAGGAGAAAUGGAGUGCAUGCAUUGUCCUGCUACCAAGCUAAUUGUUAACAGCAUUGUCUGUAGUUGUUAAUCACACCAGACUAUUCUUUCAUAAUUGUUUUAUAUAUUGUAACUAAAACCUGAAAUGAGUCUAUCGAAUGCACAUAUUUAGUGGACAUUGAUUUGAUAGUUAAGACA